CCUACGGGAGGCUGCAGUGGGGAAUAUUGGACAAUGGGGGGAACCCUGAUCCAGCCAUGCCGCGUGUGUGAAGAAGGCCCUCGGGUUGUAAAGCACUUUCAGUGAGGAAGAACGCCUGGUGGUUAAUACCCAUCAGGAAAGACAUCACUCACAGAAGAAGCACCGGCUAACUCCGUGCCAGCAGCCGCGGUAAUACGGAGGGUGCGAGCGUUAAUCGGAAUUACUGGGCGUAAAGCGCGCGUAGGUGGCUUGAUAAGCCGGUUGUGAAAGCCCGGGGCUCAACCUGGGAACGGCAUCCGGAACUGUCAAGCUAGAGUGCAGGAGAGGAAGGUAGAAUUCCCGGUGUAGCGGUGAAAUGCGUAGAGAUCGGGAGGAAUACCAGUGGCGAAGGCGGCCUUCUGGACUGACACUGACACUGAGGUGCGAAAGCGUGGGUAGCAAACAGGAUUAGAUACCCUAGUAGUC
rnacentral:rRNA from 1 species